rnacentral:rRNA from 1 species
GCUGGCGGUGCGCCUUAUGCAUGCAAGUCGAGCGAAGCUUUUCAGUAGUUUACUACAGAAAAUGACUGAGCGGCGAACGGGUGAGUAACGCGUGAGCAAUCUACCUUAGUUACAGGGAUAGCCCGAGGAAACUCGGAUUAAUACCUGAUAUUCUUUAUUUCUCGCAUGAGAAUAAAAGGAAAGGUCAGCCGAACUAAGAUGAGCUCGCGUUCUAUCAGCUAGUUGGUGAGGUAAAAGCUUACCAAGGCUACGACGGAUAGCUGGUCUGAGAGGACGAUCAGCCACACUGGGACUGAGACACGGCCCAGACUCCUACGGGAGGCUGCAGCAGGGAAUAUUGUGCAAUGAACGAAAGUUUGACACAGCGACACCGCGUGUGGGAUGACGGAUCUAGGUUUGUAAACCACUUUCAGGAGGGAAGAAAAUGACGGUACCUCCACAAGAAGCCCCGGCCAACUACGUGCCAGCAGCCGCGGUAAUACGUAGGGGGCGAGCGUUGUCCGGAUUUAUUGGGCGUAAAGAGCUCGUAGGCGGUUCAACAAGUCGGUCGUGAAAGUUCAGGGCUCAACCCUGAAAUGUCGAUCGAUACUGUUGUGACUAGGAUACGGUAGAGGUGAGUGGAAUUCCGAGUGUAGCGGUGAAAUGCGUAGAUAUUCGGAGGAACACCAAUUGCGAAGGCAGCUCACUGGACCGCUAUCGACGCUGAGGAGCGAA